GACGAACGCUGGCGGCGUGCUUAACACAUGCAAGUCGAACGCUGAAGACCUGGCUAUUGUUGUGUUGGAUGAGUGGCGAACGGGUGAGUAACACGUGAGUAACCUGCCCUCUUGUUUGGGAUAAUGCCCGGAAACGGGUGCUAAUACUGGAUAUUCACUGAUCUUCGCAUGGGGGUUGGUGGAAAGGUGUGUUCUGGUGGGGUAUGGGCUCGCGGCCUAUCAGCGUGUUGGUGGGGUGAUGGGCUACCAAGGCUUUGACGGGUAGCAGGGCUGCGAGGGUGAGCGGUCGUGUUGGGACUGAGGUACGCCCCAGACUCGUGCGGGAGGCAGCAGUGGGGCAUAUUGCACAAUGGGCGAAAGCCUGAUGCAGCGACGCCGCGUGAGGGAUCGAGGCCUUCGGGUUGUAAACCUCUUUCGGUAAGUGUCAAGCCGCAAGUGUGGGUUGUGGUGAGGGUAGUGGGUAAAGAAGCGCCGGCUAACUACGUG
rnacentral:rRNA from 1 species